GACGAACCGUGCGAACGUUGUUCGGAAUCACUGGGCUUAAAGGGCGCGUAGGCGGGUUUUCAAGUCUGUGGUGAAAGCCUCCAGCUUAACUGGAGAAGUGCCGUGGAUACUGGAGACCUCGAGGAGGGUAGGGGCAUCUGGAACAGCCGGUGGAGCGGUGAAAUGCGUUGAUAUCCUAAGGAACACCGGUGGCGAAAGCGGCUUACUGGGUCUUAUCUGACGCUGAUGCACGAAAGCUAGGGUAGCGAACGGG
rnacentral:rRNA from 1 species